ensembl:lncRNA
AUGUUCAGGCUGAAGCAACUCUGUAGCCCACAGUCCGUGCUGGCCGCUGUCGGGGUGAGGCAGCUGCUGGGCCUGGCGUCGCUGAUGCCCUCCACACCUGGUCCUCGAGCCAGGCUGAGGACAGGAAGGGUGUUGCUGGCCUGUAGCUCCUGUUGCCCACCCGGAGCCAGGCUCCCCACUGGAGGCUCCCAGCCGAGAGGACCCAGGCCCACCCAUGGGCGUCUGGCAGGCCAAGCUCCCAGCCCGGGCCGUGGUCUCCUGGGGAUGCCGCUGGCCUGACUCUCAGCUUAGGCCCAGGUGUCAGGGGGUGUCCUGCCCGUCUUCCCAAGGAUGCCAUUGCUGUCUUCAUCAUCUUCCCCCGUGUGAGACACUGGUUGUCCGGUACUCAGUGACAGCGUGCCAGACGCACACUCUAUGUGAGGUGCUUUCAGGUCCCUGUCCUCAGGAAGCGCAGAGUCCGGUGGAAGAGAUGAGUGCUGAAUAAAUCACUAAAUACACAAAACAACAAUGUAAGCAGCACUUAUUUAAAAAAAAAAAAAAAAAAAAAAAACAGGUCCUGUCGAUCAAUUUUGAGUCUCUCUGCCUCGUCUGUCCCCUGACUCCCUUUCGUGCACCACGGCAUGAGAAUCUUUCCUCACGCUGUUAAGGUAUUGCUGAGCAUUGACACUGACCUCAAGGAAAAGCAGUGGUUGGACCCAGCCGUGUGUGGCACUCACGUGCGAUUCAGUAGCCGUUGCCGGGCUGUCCACGCCUGUUGUGACUACCGAUUGGGGUCAGAUUUGGGGUGAAGAAUAAGUAACUUUCUGCAUGCUUUGUCUCUCUCGAGACACUUCUACAACAAGCUGAGUAUAAUCUCUCCAGCCCUGGAGAUUUUCACCUGACUUGUUAACCCCACGCGUAGACCCCCGCUGCAGGCCUCUGGCCUGAGGCUCACUGCAUGUAGCCCCUGGCAUACAACACUAGUGCCCCACAGCGCGAUGUGCUUCUAGCCCUUCUGCACUGCACCUAGGCUCAGGGUUCCAACGGCCAGCCCGAAACGCCUGCCUGCCUUCUUUCUGGAAACAGCACGUCCCGGCCGUGUGCCUGCCCCUUUCUCUACUGAACUAGUCCCCAAACCAAAGGCAAGCCCUCUCGGGCCUGGGGGGAUGGGGCCGGCCACACCCCUGACUCCGUCCUGGCUCUGCCCCAUACCCCUGCCGUGGGGCCGACCCGGGGGAUGCAGACAUCCAGCUCCGUAUUCCUGCCUUUCGGGGCCAGGAUGCAAAAACAGUUUUUGCGUAAAAGAUGUCACACUGAUCUGCUCGAGUGGGGUGGACACAUGAGUUAAGUUUUAUCAUGAACACUCGCUGCUUGUUAAUUCAGGGAUAACGGUGGCAUUCUUACAAAGUGCUCGGGAAAUAGAAUGACAGGAACGCUUUCAGGGAGCCCAGGAAGUUACCAGAGACACUGGUGUCAGUCGGCCUAGGCAACAGCAGCGUACGCUUUUCAAACAUCAUUGAGUUGUCUUAGAAUCUGAAGCUGUGUAAUGACAAUGUCACCUGGAGUUCUUUUCCAUUUCUUAACUUUUUGUUGCACAAGUAUUUGGACAGAAGUCGAACUGUGAAUGAGAUACUGAAAUGCACUAAAUUGUAUUAAAUUAAACUGGAGUUACUUGAUACAAUGAAGAAAUGCAUCUGAUCUACUUGUAUUUAUUGUCUCAGAAUUGUACGUUGUGACAAUCAAAUGUUACUUGCCUAAAUGCCAGGAAAUUCAACUGGCUUCUUAAUCACCAAGAUCGCCAGCAAGUACUGUAACUGUAAAUGAAAAUCUCUCUGGAAAACUCACACAAACCAUUGACCUGAGUGCACAUGACAGCCACUGGCUUCUUUUUCUAUAAUUGAAAAUCUGCCAUCGCUGACUGUUGGCCAGUUUCAAAGGGACCCAUUGUAUACAGGGUGCAAAUGUAUUAUAUGGAUGUUUCCUUUUGUACGCUUCAUUUUUACAAGUUUUGCUACUCACAAGCUUUAUGUAGUGGAGGAUAGAGGUAUUUUUGGUCUUUAGAAGCUUGUUGGGGUGAGGGCUGCUAACUUACUCUUCGAAGGCCUGUGUCCCGAAGGCCUGGCUGCGUUUGCCGUGCUGUGCGAGGACCUGUGUACACAGGCAGGUGUGCGCCUGCCCAAGCGCGAGUAGCUCUUGUGUACUGGUGAAAUGCUGCAGGCAUCUGUUUAUUAAAUUUGCUGCUGUGAAAGAGAGGGAUAAAAAACCACAAUAUAAGAGAAAGCGAC